GUCGAAUUUCUAAAGAAAGAAAACACCAUUUUUGAGCUCUCAUGCAUUCGGCACUUCUAUCUUUGAUCAAGAUCAAGAAAGGAAGAAAUCAGAAUUGGAUCGGGGGAAGUCGAAAGUUAUUGAAUAGUCGUUCCGGUCCGUUCGUGUCCAUACGAGAUUUAGUGAUCUCGAAUCACCAUUCCGACAUCACUGAAAAUUCAGGCCAUUACAAGUAUCCUUAUUGAUUUCGAAUGGUUCAACAGGUAAUAUUGAGAAAUGGAUGACUAUGUGAAAGUAUAUCCGAUUCAGGUACAUACGAAGUGUAUAUGUUAUUCAAAAAUUGAAAGGUGAGUAUGUUUAAAAUGACGAUAUGUGAAAUAUAUGAUAAUGAAUGAAAUGAAUGUAUACAAAUGAACGUUGUGUUACAUAUGCUCAUUAUAUGAAAUUGUUGUCAUAUGUUCGAACAUGGGAAUUAUGAAACAUGAAACAUGGUGUUGAGGUAUGCUAAUUUGGUUUGAAAUUUGGAUUAGAUAAUUGAUAUCGAGAUGGUGGUGUUAUGAUGCAUGGUUAGCAUAUAUGUGAAAUGGCUAGUAAAGCAUGACUUGUUCUGGUUGGUUAUGUAAUU